UACGAAGGGGGCUAGCGUUGUUCGGAAUCACUGGGCGUAAAGCGCACGUAGGCGGAUUUUUAAGUCAGGGGUGAAAUCCCGAGGCUCAACCUCGGAACUGCCUUUGAUACUGGAGAUCUUGAGUCCGGAAGAGGUAAGUGGAACUGCGAGUGUAGAGGUGAAAUUCGUAGAUAUUCGCAAGAACACCGGUGGCGAAGGCGGCUCACUGGCCCGUAACUGACGCUCAUGCACGACAGCGUGGGGAUCAAACAGG
rnacentral:rRNA from 1 species